UUCUAUACGCAUCCUCCCCAACACAGGGAGGAACGAUCCGCGACUGUGAAGUUUGGUUCAUGGUAGCUUUGGCAGAUAACAGUUAGUAAAGUAGAGCUAUA